rnacentral:rRNA from 1 species
UACAGAGGUCCCAAGCGUUGUUCGGAUUCACUGGGCGUAAAGGGUGCGUAGGCGGUCGGGUAAGUCUGAUGUGAAAUCUCACAGCUUAACUGUGAAACUGCAUUGGAUACUAUCCGGCUCGAGGAAUGGAGGGGAGACUGGAAUUCCUGGUGUAGCAGUGAAAUGCGUAGAUAUCAGGAGGAAUACCGAUGGCGAAGGCAGGUCUCUGGGCUGAUACUGACGCUCAUGCACGAAAGCGUGGGGAGCAAACAGG